UGGUGGAGUGAUUUGUCUGCUUAAUUGCGAUAACGAACGAGACCUUCAUCGUUAACUAGCCCGACCCGCUUUGGCGGGCCGCCGGCUUCUUAGCGAGACUUUUGGCUUAAGCCAAAGGAAGUUGGAGGCAAUAACA
rnacentral:rRNA from 1 species